CUACGGGAGGCUGCAGUGGGGAAUAUUGGACAAUGGGGGAAACCCUGAUCCAGCAAUGCCGCGUGUGUGAAGAAGGCCUGCGGGUUGUAAAGCACUUUCGGUUGGGAGGACUGCUUCUAGCACUAAUAUUGUUGGAAGUUGACGUUACCUUCAGAAGAAGCACCGGCUAACUCCGUGCCAGCAGCCACGGUAAUACGGAGGGUGCAAGCGUUAAUCGGAAUUACUGGGCGUAAAGCGCGCGUAGGCGGCUAGAUUAGUCGGGUGUGAAAGCCCCGGGCUUAACCUGGGAACUGCAUCCGAUACUGUCUAGCUUGAGUACAGGAGAGGAGAGUGGAAUUCCACAUGUAGCGGUGAAAUGCGUAGAUAUGUGGAGGAACACCAAUGGCGAAGGCAGCUCUCUGGCCUGAUACUGACGCUGAGGUGCGAAAGCGUGGGGAGCAAACAGGAUUAGAUACCCCGGUAGUC
rnacentral:rRNA from 1 species